UAAGUGUAGGCCAAUUGAUGGAGGAAGUUGGACUUUCUUAUCCUGCCUCUCCACCCCCUCCUCUUAAAAAAAAAGGCAAGAAAUUUAUUAAUAAGGCGCUAUUUGUUUUCGACUUCAAAUCAAUUAUAUGUGUUUGUGUGUGUGUGUGUGUGUGUGUGUGUGUGUGUGUGUGUGUGUUUGCACACGUACCAAAAAGGGGUUAAAAAAAAGUCUAUAUAUCACAAGCUGUGAGCGCCCAUGAAUAAAGGGAAGUGAUAUAUAAACGACAACGUGCAGAGGACGCGCACAGUCCUGAACAUUCAGUUUAAAAUGUCCCUCUGUGAGUGAGGAUGGGGCACGGGGUUGAAGAGAGAGAGAUUCAUACACACUGACUUAGCCUGAUCUGACUGAUUCAAAACGCACAGAACUUCGACCAGAAGCAGCAUAACUUGCAUCUCAAAGAAUUUUCUCCCGGCCAAAGUUGUAAGGUGAAGUGCAAAGAUGCAGACGACCAGAAGUCGAAGGCUGGUGGAUUCUGCUCCCUGGAUGAGAUUGUUGCUCCGCGUGUGUGUGUGUGUGUGUGUGUGUGUGUGUGUGUGUGUGUGUGUGUGUGUCUGUGUGUGUGUGUCUCUCUCUCUCUCUCUCUCUGAAGCAAGAAGUGAAACAACCUUCAACUGUGAAAACAAGUCAAACUCACAAGGUCCUGUCCCCACUGCUACCUCCAUUUCAGUACACUCCAAAACGAGCUGGAAAUUGCAACAGGAGUUGCCUUUUUCUGAGGAAAGGAGUGUCUUUGGAAAAUCCCAGGGUUUCAAAAGCUGAGUUUAUUUAAAGCAUGGAUUGACAGCCUUUAGGAAUGUCCUGGCAUCUGCAGAAGGUGAAGAUUGGCCUUUAGGAUCCUCACAAGCAACUCCCCAGGAGCAAUAUCUGAACAGCAAUGUCCUGGAAUUUCAUUGUUCAUUUCACGGACUCCAAGACAAUUCAGGAGAAUUGGCAAACCUUAGACAAGUCUGGGAUUUGACUCAUGGCAUACUUGGAAAGCCCUAAAAGGGGACCAGAACUGUUGCUGAGCAACAGGCCAAAUCCAGUGUGGAAUUGUGGAAUCCAAUUAGAUCUGGGUCAAUGAAAAGCAACAAAAUAGACAUUUUUGUGGGAGCACCAAAACUGAUUUCUCCUGGCUUUUUGUCAUGACCACUUGCAAGGAAUUUAUUUAAGGCCUUCAACACGUACCAUUGAGAGCACGUAGCACAGCAAGCAACAGUAGCAGCGGACAAUGGCAUUGACAACCGCGGUUUAAUGAACACAGCAAUUUUGGAUUGGGACAAUAUGUCAGAGUCAUAGAGAAGUACAGCACAGAAACAGGACCUUCAGCCCAUCUAGUCCAUGCUGAAAUCAUUUAAGCUACCUACUCCCAUCAACCUGCACCGAGAUCAUAGCCCUCCAUAACCCUACCAUCUGUGUACCUAUCCAAACUUCAGUGUUGAAAUUGAGCACGCUGGCAGCUGAUUCCACAGUCUCAUGACCCUCUGAGUGACAAAAUUCAAAGGUUCACUUUAUUAUCAAAAUAUGUAUGCAGAAUAUAACUCUGAAAUUUGUCUCUUCUCCAGAUAGCAAUAGAAUACAGAAAACCACAUGAAUAGUUGAAAGACAUCAAUCCCCCUCCCUCGCACAAAAAGAAAAAGAAACAAAAACUUGCAAACCCCAAACACCCCCAACUCCUCCCUUACGCAAAAAAACUUAACAGAUCACCAAAACCCCCAGCCCACAAAAUCGGCAACAAGAAAGAGUGGGUAAGAACACGAAAAAAUAUUGAAUUGAAAGAGCUCAAUAUGAACUACAGUCCAAUCCAUACAAUCUCAGAAUUUCGAUAACAUCUUCGAGAGCAUGGGAACACAGCGGCCCACCUGAGAACUGUGGCUCUGGUUGUAGUCCCACCCAACCGCAGUGGAAAAAGCCUGCUUGCAUUUACCCUAUUUGUACCCCUCAUAAUUUUAUAUACCUCUGUCAAAUCUCCCCUCAAUCUUCUACUUUCUAAAGAAUACAGUCCUAACCUAUUCAAUCUUUCCUUGUAACUCGGGUCCUCCAGACCCAGCAACAUCCUUGUAAAUUUUCUCUGUAUUCUUUCAACCUUAUUUACAUCUUUCCUGUAGGUAAGUGACCAAAAUUGCACACAGUACUCCAAAUUAGGCCCCACCAAUGUCCUGUACAACUUCAACAUAACAUCCCAACUACUCAAUAAUUGAUCAUUGAAGGCCAAUAUUGCCAGAAGCUUUCUUUACAACCCUAUCUACCUGUGACACCACUUUCAAUGAAUUAUGUACCUGUAUUCCCAGAUCCCUUUGUUCUACCACACUCCUCAGUGCCCUACCAACCGGUGUAAGACCUACCCCGGUUGGUCCUACUGAAGUAUUAAGCCUCACGCUUGUCUGCAUUAAAUUUCAACAGCCAUUUUCAGCCCAUUUUUCCAGCUGAUGCAGAUCCCUCUGCAAGACAUGAUGGCCUUCCUCACUGUCCACUGGACCUCCAAUGUCCCAAUUAGUUACAUUGGGAACAUAAGCUCAAGAACCAUUCAACCUGUGUAUCGAGAGUGAAUGAACAUUUUUGGUGAGGUGCUGUUACCUGAGAAAUUGAAGAAGAAUAGUUUGUGAGAACCUAAAAUAAUGUAGUUUGAGAAUGUAGAAGCAGUUUUCCUGAUGGAGUGUGUGCACAGUAAGACCUAGUGUUCAAAGGGGUCUCUGGACAGAUAUUGAAUGGAUAGGUAGAGUUUGACCAAGUUGCAGGGAAUGAAACUGUUCUGCAUUUAUCACAGUGAGAUGCCAAGUGAACAGAGAUGCAUCAAGUGGCUCAGAGAGAGGCAACACCUGCUGCUUUGAGCAAAAAUAUUGUUUGAACUUUAUACUAAAUGUACAAGAAUAGUCGGUAUGAAAUCAACUGCGUGAGAUUUUGUUUACCAGCCUCUUCUGGACAGUAACCUUGAACCAUUGGUGAGCAAACAUUUAUUGCCAAAGUUAUAGGAAGAACUCACAAAGCUCCUGUGUGUGCUUGAUCUAUUUAAACCUUUUUCAGACAAUACACGUAGACUUGUGCAAAAUGGUACAGAUUUGUAAUCAUACAAAGUGGAUUGAAUUUUAAUACAAGGGUUAAGUACCACUAUGGAACAUACUAUAGGAGAGUUAAGUCUGGCACAUUUCUGACAAUGGCCCAUGACUUUAGUCAUCCUUGUGGCAAACUUUCCAAAACAGAAUGGUAUUAAGCUUACUCUCGCUCCUUAUGCCAUUUGGCUAUGAAUAGAGCAGCCCAGAGGUUGGCCAGAUUAAUUAUGGGGAUAGUUAAACUUCAGAACAAAAUAUUACAGCCAUUUUUUUUUUGCCGAAAUGAGGCCAGCAUCAUGGUUUACAGCUGUGAACUCUUUAUGAAGUGUGUUUAAGAAUGCACUAUAGCCUUGUUCAACUAAGAUUGGCUUUUAGAGUCAAACAUUUGAGUUGGAGGCAUCACUAUGGCACUAAUCAGAAUUACUAAACUUUCAAACAUAGCGAGCAUGUUGAUGUCUUAGCCUACCCUAACAAGUCAGGCUCAAACAAGUAAGACGUAUGAAUUAUCAUAGUGAUUUGAGGAGUUCAGAUUUUUCUGGCUGAAAUUUAUGUCAAUCCAAAGUGGUCAUUCAGAUCUUGUAAACACUAAGCAGGAACCAAAUCUAGAUAAUAAACAAUUCAGCCGUGAAUUUGAGUUGGACUCAGUGGGUGUUUUUGGAUGUGCAGUGCCAAAUGCAAACAUAUUGACAGGGCUUGGAGUUGAGAUUUAUUAUUGAAUAGUUCAAGAGUAGAUUCAACAUCAGAACCUGGCAUAGAUCAGGUAAAUGCAAGCAGGCUUUUCCCACUGAGGUUGGGUGAGACUAGAACUGGACGUCAUGUG